rnacentral:rRNA from 1 species
AAAUAGAACUUUGCAGAGAGAGUUAAGAGGGCGUGAAACCGUUAAUUGGCAAACGAAUCGGAGCCACGAAGUCGUUUCGUUUAGUUGGACCAGGUUCAGCCUUGAGGGAUCCCUCUCGGGGUGUAUUCUUGGAUUCCAACCAAUUGUAAGCGUACACUGCAACCAGUUAGACGAUUGGUUAUGGGCAUAGUUGCAGGUUGAUAAGUUUUCGGAUUUAUUAGCUUGUAGCGACAAACUUGUUUGCAAGGAGUUGUAAUAGUACAGUUUGGGUUCGCCCUUGUUGUGUUGUUAACUUUUUGUAAGUGAACUAUGACCAAAUACUGACUGGCACAAUGAAAAUCGCCAUGUAUGUGGCGUUGCACAUAAAGCGGCUGCUUGUAUAAAUAUCUACAUGCUUGACCAUAGGUUUUAAGCUCAGCAUUUUUGAAUUUGGACUUGCUUGCUACCAAUGGGGCAACUCUUGGUGCUUGUAUUGUAUCAUCUAAUCGGGUGUUGACUUGAAUUUAUGUUGCUCGAGUAUGAAACGAUUGGGUGUUUAUACGAGGUGGUUUGCAAUUAUGAAUUGGCAGUGAGUAGGUCGGCUUUCCGAACGACCCGUCUUGAAACACGGACCAAGGAGUCUAAUUAGGUAUCAAGUCGAUCGGUCUUGAAUAGGCCAGACUGGAUGGGCUUCGGCCCAGCCGAUUGAAGGCGUAGAGAAAUCAAAUCCAUGUGAUCUGGAAGGGCAAGAAAACAGCCCUCUGGCGCAACAUGUGCCUGCUCGUAUAGCAACUGUUAGCAAUAACUUGCUGGGCGGAGCAAAGAGAUACCUGAUUGGUACC